GAUGAAGAACGCAGCGAAAUGCGAUAAGUAAUGUGAAUUGCAGAAUUCAGUGAAUCAUCGAAUCUUUGAACGCACCUUGCACCCUUUGGCAUUCCGAAGGGUAUGCUCGUUUGAGUGUCAUUGUACUCUCACACUUCCAACCUUUGGAUUGGGAGCAGUGGACUUGGGUGUUGCUGCUUACUGUGGCUCACCUCAAAUCGAUUCGUGCACCUCUUGGUUGGACAUAGUACGGCGUGAUAAGUGUCUUCGCCGGCACCUCAGUAGAGGGUGGCUGAUCAGGAGCUCUGUGCUUCAAACCGUCCUCGGACAAAAACUGACAACUUGACCUCAAAUCGAGUAGGACUACCCGCUGAACUUAAGCAUAUCAAUAAGCGGAGGA
rnacentral:misc_RNA from 1 species